GGAGACUCUAAGACUUCUGAAGAGUUUCUUGCUUCUUUCCUGUGGGGCAGUGACUCCACUUCCCAGCAGUAAUGGAAUAUCCUGAAUUAGCUACAUUAAUGUUAGAACCAUUUGGACCUCACCCAGGACUUCAACUACAUUAUGGAUGUUAUAAGAAAUGAGACUCACUACUGAAUUCACAGCAGGCAUGGUUGAAGGCACCAUUCACUAUAGCUUGCAGUGUUCCCUUUAUGAGAUUUGUAUGAGAAAUUCCUCUCAUAGGUCAAGUUCUUGGGAGAAAAUUCUCCCAAAGAGCAAGUCCCAGGAAAAUCUUGGCUGAGUAACUCCUGGACGAUUGGCACAGAAGAAGGCACAAGGCAAAUACCCAUCUCUGUACACCCUGUGCUACUGUGUCAUGUGCUGCUCCAGGCAACUCCAAUGGAUUGGCCACCCUGGCCAAUGUGCCCUCCAAACACCAGCACUGAGUAGAAAGAGGCUCUGAUUCAUGAAAUGUGAAUUUAUGACAGUUGCCACUCUUAAAAAAAAAAACAAACAGACAGAACUUGAGCAAUACAUGACUGAUGCAUUCUCAGCCUGCUUCCUGUGUUCCAUCUGUCUUUCUGCCAGUGCAUUCACCCUCCAGGUUCUAGUAUGUUACGUUUAUGUUCCCCUGCUUUCUACAAUCCUGUUCAAAGAGUUGCUGACUUAACCACAGAGAGGAUUCCAGAACCUGAGACACAGAAUAAACUUGAGCAAUCAUAGUCCAUCCACUUCAUUGUCUCAUCAAAAACCAAAGGUCCAGUGAAGCUCUGGAACUCAACGCUGUAAAGGAG
rnacentral:lncRNA from 10 species